CCCUCCCCGCGCUGUGCAGCAGUUUCCCCGGGGGCCUGCAGGGCCGGGGGGCCUUGGGGGGCCGGGCGGUGAGCAGGCCUCGGCCCCCCAGACCCGGCGGAGCUGGGGCCCUGCCUCUUCGCGGAGACGCUGGCGCUGGUGGAUCUGGGCGGGCGCCCGUGCGGGGAGCUGCAGCUCUCGGCCCAGCUGGGCUCCUACGGGCACCCGGACGGGCGGGACGAGGCCUGUGUGCUGGUGCGGGCCAGGAGCCAGGCCAGCGUGGACGGCGCACCCUGCGGCACCUCCCUGCACGCCUUCGUGUCCAAGAAGCUGGAGACCCUGGAGCAGCACCAGCACGAGUAUGUGAAGCUGCCCGGGCACCCCAUGGACAGGACGACACAGCUGGUGCAGCGCGGGGGCAAGAUCCUCAUCAGCUGCAACACGGUGGAGGGAGAGGUGAAGGGGAGCCCCCGG